rnacentral:rRNA from 1 species
AGGGAAUCUUCCACAAUGGGCGCAAGCCUGAUGGAGCAACGCCGCGUGAGUGAGGAAGGCCUUCGGGUCGUAAAGCUCUGUUGCCAGGGAAGAAUAAGAGCCAGUUAACUGCUGGUUCGAUGACGGUACCUGAGAAGAAAGCCCCGGCUAACUACGUGCCAGCAGCCGCGGUAAUACGUAGGGGGCAAGCGUUGUCCGGAAUUAUUGGGCGUAAAGCGCGCGCAGGCGGCUGUUUAAGUCUGGUGUAUACUCCUGGGGCUCAACUCCGGGUCGCACUGGAAACUGGACGGCUUGAGUGCAGAAGAGGAGAGUGGAAUUCCACGUGUAGCGGUGAAAUGCGUAGAGAUGUGGAGGAACACCAGUGGCGAAGGCGACUCUCUGGGCUGUAACUGACGCUGAGGCGCGAAAGCGUGGGGAGCAAAC